CUGUGAUCUAAUGGGAGGAGAGUGCAUAGCCUGGCUCAUUGCAAGGAAGCACACUUACAGGGAAUACUUGAAAGGGCCUUCUACGCACCCUUUUCCCCACAACCACUUACCGACAUGGGAACACGGUCAUAAUAUCCAGCAAUUUGCAAUACUACUGGAUGCUGUUGUACCUGAAUGGUCUCAGUAUAUGAGAAAAGCAAGGCCUACACAAGUAAGCAUCUUUAAUAAAUCCAUUUAUAUAGCUGGGGAAAGUGGGCAAGCUUUUGGGCU
rnacentral:lncRNA from 1 species